GCCGGUUUAGCUCAGCAGGUAGAGCGCCCGAUUUGUAAUCGGACGGUCGCGGGUUCGAUUCCUGCAACCGGCACCA
rnacentral:tRNA from 6 species